rnacentral:rRNA from 1 species
GAAUUCGCCCUUAGAGUUUGAUCCUGGCUCAGGACGAACGCUGGCGGCGCGCCUAACACAUGCAAGUCGAACGGAGCUUAGAGAGCUUGCUUUUUAAGCUUAGUGGCGAACGGGUGAGUAACGCGUGAGUAACCUGCCCUAGAGUGGGGGACAACAGUUGGAAACGACUGCUAAUACCGCAUAAGCCCACGGUACCGCAUGGUACUGAGGGAAAAGGAUUUAUUCGCUUUAGGAUGGACUCGCGUCCAAUUAGCUAGUUGGUGAGGUAACGGCCCACCAAGGCGACGAUUGGUAGCCGGACUGAGAGGUUGAACGGCCACAUUGGGACUGAGACACGGCCCAGACUCCUACGGGAGGCAGCAGUGGGGGAUAUUGCACAAUGGGGGAAACCCUGAUGCAGCGACGCCGCGUGGAGGAAGAAGGUUUUCGGAUUGUAAACUCCUGUCGUUAGGGACGAUAAUGACGGUACCUAACAAGAAAGCACCGGCUAACUACGUGCCAGCAGCCGCGGUAAAACGUAGGGUGCAAGCGUUGUCCGGAAUUACUGGGUGUAAAGGGAGCGCAGGCGGACCGGCAAGUUGGAAGUGAAAACUAUGGGCUCAACCCAUAAAUUGCUUUCAAAACUGCUGGCCUUGAGUAGUGCAGAGGUAGGUGGAAUUCCCGGUGUAGCGGUGGAAUGCGUAGAUAUCGGGAGGAACACCAGUGGCGAAGGCGACCUACUGGGCACCAACUGACGCUGAGGCUCGAAAGCAUGGGUAGCAAACAGGAUUAGAUACCCUGGUAGUCCAUGCCGUAAACGAUGAUUACUAGGUGUUGGAGGAUUGACCCCUUCAGUGCCGCAGUUAACACAAUAAGUAAUCCACCUGGGGAGUACGACCGCAAGGUUGAAACUCAAAGGAAUUGACGGGGGCCCGCACAAGCAGUGGAGUAUGUGGUUUAAUUCGAAGCGACGCGAAGAACCUUACCCGGGCUUGACGUGGCGGGAAAAGCCGGGGAGACCCGGUGUGCGGAAGCGCCCGCCGCAGGUACUGCAUGGCCGUCGUCAGCUCGUGUCGUGAGAUGUUUGGUUAAGUCCAGCAACGAGCGCAACCCCUGUUGCCAGUUACCAGCACGUGAAGGUGGGGACUCUGGCGAGACUGCCCAGAUCAACUGGGAGGAAGGUGGGGACGACGUCAGGUCAGUAUGGCCCUUAUGCCCAGGGCUGCACACGUACUACAAUGCCCAGUACAGAGGGGGCCGAAGCCGCGAGGCAGAGGAAAUCCUGAAAACUGGGCCCAGUUCGGACUGUAGGCUGCAACCCGCCUACACGAAGCCGGAAUCGCUAGUAAUGGCGCAUCAGCUACGGCGCCGUGAAUACGUUCCCGGGUCUUGCACACACCGCCCGUCA